UUUAUAGUUUUAGAAAAAUGUAAUGCUAUUUGAUAUACAUUAGUAGACAGUAUAUACUGUAUUACAUUGCUUUUGCUUUUGGUUUGUGAAGAAAAACUUUUUUUUUUUUUUUUAAGGGGGAAGGGAUCUAAGUAACUUACUUUUUGAUUUAACUGUAUUUCUGAUUUGCUGAUAAGUGUGCUGGCCCAUAAAAUAGAUCAGAAAAUGCAUGUAUUGAAAACAUAAUUCACAUGACCAGAAAGUGUUAAAAUACUUUAAAGUCUUAAAUUGAGGUUUGGAUUUAGAGAUUAAAUUGUUAGAAUAAAUACUAAAUUGUUAUUUAUUUUGGACAUAAAGAGGAAAAAUCUCAAAUAGGGAAUGUGUUCUUACUAUAUGAAUUUACAAAUUUGAAUAAUUUUUGCUUAAACUUUCAAAAAAUAUGGCUUAAUAGAAUCCUUCAUAAAAGAGUUUCUUUGGAUUUUUACAAAUAGGUCAAGAGUCUUGUUUCACUGGAUCAGACUCUCAGAAUUCUUCAUGGCCUAUUUGUCAGAAUUGUUUAAGAAAUAUUCAGUGCCAUGAUGUGCCAUAAAACGACUUGACUUUGCUGUUUGGAAGGUUAUGGUCUCAUGUCCAUUUUCAAACUUUUAUCAUUCUACUCCUUAACUUCCCUUUCCUGACAAGCAUGGUUUAUGGUAUUGUGUAUUAGUUAAGAGGCUAAACUCUGAAAUGAACAACACCUGAAUUUGAAUUUCAGCUCUGCUACUUCCUAGUAGUUUAACCUUGAGCAGAUUACUUAAACUCCAUGAAGUAAGAUUAAUAAAAUAAAACUUUAAUGUUUUGAAGAUCAAAUUAUAUACUGUAGGCAAAAAAACACUGCCUGACACAUGUGUGCUCAAUAAAUGAUCAUUGCUCUUCAUAGCUCGUAUGGUUUCCUGAAUUAUGCCUUGUCAUUUAUUUUGUCUAAAAUUUGGUUCUUACCUUUUUGUUGUUGUGGUGGUAAUUGAAUCGGGGGUCCUGCAUGCUAGACAAGCAUUCUACUACUGAGCUACAU
rnacentral:lncRNA from 1 species